CUCCAGUAUAAUAAGCGUUUUUGCAUUUUUCUUCCUAAUUCUUGGAUUCAAAAACCUCAGCUGGUGCCAAGACACAUUCACCAAACUACAAUGUCUGCGGCUCACCUCGGGGCUUUACUUUCUAAUAGGAAUGUCCUCCUCGGCUGCCAUCAUAAGAUACUGCAUCUAUGUGUAUCACGUUCACCAAUAUGAGGUAUCUCUGAAAAUCCCAGGAUUCCCUAGUUUUGAAUAUGGCUACUCUCUUUGGAUGGCAGUAGGUGGCAAUUUAGGGGCCAUCACCACAGCUGUAAUAACCUGCUACCAGGG